UACGGAGGGUGCGAGCGUUAAUCGGAAUAACUGGGCGUAAAGGGCACGCAGGCGGUGACUUAAGUGAGGUGUGAAAGCCCCGGGCUUAACCUGGGAAUUGCAUUUCAUACUGGGUCGCUAGAGUACUUUAGGGAGGGGUAGAAUUCCACGUGUAGCGGUGAAAUGCGUAGAGAUGUGGAGGAAUACCGAAGGCGAAGGCAGCCCCUUGGGAACGUACUGACGCUCAUGUGCGAAAGCGUGGGGAGCAAACAGG
rnacentral:rRNA from 2 species